rnacentral:rRNA from 1 species
UGCCAGCAGCCGCGGUAAUACGAAGGGUGCUAGCGUUGUUCGGAAUUACUGGGCGUAAAGAGCAUGUAGGCGGAUGAAUUAGUCAGAGGUGAAAGCCCCGAGCUCAACUUGGGAACUGCCUUUGAUACUGUUUAUCUAGAGUCCGAGAGAGGUUAGUGGAAUUCCCAGUGUAGAGGUGAAAUUCGUAGAUAUUGGGAAGAACACCGAUAGCGAAGGCAGCUUACUAAGUUAGUAUUGACGCUAAUGCACGAAAGUGUGGGGAGCAAACAGGAUUAGAUA